UCCCAGCACUUUGGGAGGCCAAGGUGGGUGGAUCACGAGGUCAAGAGAUCAAGACCAUCCUGAUCAACAAGGUGAAACCCCAUCUCUACUAAAAACACAAAAAUUAGCUGGGCAUGGUGGUGCGUGCCUGUAGUCCCAGCUACUCGGGAGGCUGAGGCAGGAGAAUUGCUUGAACCCAGAAGGCGGAGGUUGCGGUGAGCCGAGAUCGUGCCAUUGCACUCCAGCCUGGGUAACAAGAGCGAAACUCCAUCUCAAAAAAAAAGACAAGAAAAAAAUAAAUCCCAAGGUUUAUCCCAGAACAGUGGAACAAAUCUGAGGUAUUUAUUUAUUUAUUUAGAAAUGGAAUCUGGCUCUGUUGCUCAGGCUGGAGUGCAGUGACAUGAUCUCGGCUCACUGCAGCCUCCACCUCCCAGAUUCAGGCAAUUCUCCAGCCUCAGCCUCCCAAGUACCUGGGAUUACAGGCAUGAACCACCAAGCCAAGCUAAUGUUUGUAUUUAUAUUUUUUAUUUUUAUAAUUGCGGGAUUUAUUAAGCAACAAUGUGUCAUGCUAACAUUUUUGUUUUGAGCAUUUUAUGAAAAAAAAAAAUCCCAGAAUAAUGGAACAAAUCUGAGGUAUUUAUUUAUUUAGAAACAGAGUCUUGCCCUGCUGCCCAGCCUGGAGUACAAUGGCUGAUCUCACUGCAACCUCCGCCUCCAGGGUUCAAGAAAUUCUCCUGCCUCAGCCUCCCGAGUAGCUGAGAUUACAGGUGGAUGCCACCAUGCCCAACUAAUUUUUUGUAUCUUUAGUAAAGAUUGGUUUCACCAUGUUGGCCAAGCUGGUCUUGAACGCCCAAGCUCCUGAUCUGCCCAACUUGGCCUCUCAAAGUGCUGGGAUUACAGGCAUGAGCCACCGUGCCAGGCCUAUUUUUAUUAUUAUUACUUUGAGUUGGGAGUCACCCUCUGUUGCCCAGCCUGGAGUGCAGUGGCUCAAUUUCUGCUCACUGCAACCUCCGCCUCCUGGAUUCAGGGGCUUCUCCUGCCUCAGCUUCCUGAGUAGCUGAGACUAUAAGUGCGUGCCACCACCCAGCUAAUUCUUGUAUUUUAGUAGAGACAAGGUUUCACCGCAUUGGCCAGGAUGGUCUCGAACUCCUGAUGUUGUGAUCCACCCACCUCAGCUUCCCAAAGAGCUGGGAUUACAGGGGUGAGCCACCGUGCCCGGCCUCGUCUAGUAAAAUUAUUUUUUGUUGAAGGGUCUCACUGUGUCGCCCAGGCUGGAGUGUAUGGUGCAAUCCCAGCUCACUGCAGCCUCGACCUCCCAGGCUCAAGAGAUCCCCCAGCAUCAGCCUGAUGAUCAGGUGGGACCACAGGCGCGUGCCACCACCAUGCCCAACUACUUCCCAGUUCAACUGUGGAUAAAACUGGUAUGUGGGGGCAAUGAGAGAGACGGGUGAAAAAUGAGAAACAAGGGAUAGGGCUGACCUCUUUUGUGUAGAAAGAAAAAAAACAGUUUCCUCAGAAAACGUUAAGUUGCCUCUCAGCCGCCUGGUAUCAGGAAGCACUGAGGCUCCCCAACGCUAACUCCUCUCAGAGCAGCUCUGGGCAGGCCACCUGAUCCUAUCCGGAGCGGGCGGGUAGGCCGCGAGACCACGUGGCCCAGAGCGCCCUUCCCUGCUGCCGGCAGGGGCGGGUCCGGGAGCGCCUGCCGCGCUGGGCGGGACGUGGGCUCCCAGGCCCGGCGGAGAGCCGCCGCCGCCGCCCUCUUGUUUUUUUCUUGAGACCUGGUCUGGCUCUGUGGCUCAGGCUGGAGUGCAAGUGGCGUGAUCACCGCUCACUGCAGCCUUAGCCUCCUCUAACCUUAGCCGCUCCGGUACCUGGGACCACGAGCUGGCGCCAUCACCUCCGGCUACGUUUUUUGUAUUUUUAGCAGAGACUGGGAUCCUGCCAUGUUGGCUAGGCUGCUCUCGAACUUCUGAGAUCAAGCGAUCCGCCCGCCUCGGCCUCCCAAAGUGCUGGGACUGCAGGCAUGAGCCACUGUUCCGGGCGCUCAGCCUCUUGGCGCCUCGUUUCGCCUUGCCAGGGCCAGGCAUGUGCAGCUUGUUGGAGAAGGGUCCCGCCCUCUACGGGAAGUCCUCGCUGCCGAGGUGACAGGCGCGGAGAACAGGAGAACCGAGAUACAGGAGGCCACUAACAGUGAUAAGGAAUUGUACCAUGUACUCCAUGCUUCGAUAACUGGAUGCUCAGCGACACGGCUGAGUUCUUCCUGCCAUCCUAACAUCCACGGCAGAUGUUAACCUCCUAUUUGACAAGUGGUCAACUUUUCUGCCUUUGGAAAGGCUUGGGGCUGGGGUGAGGGAGAGAGAAACUUUUAUAGUGAUCCCAUGUACAUUUCCCUGGAAUGAUGGAUUAGGGGGUAUGGUGAUUAAAUAUACAAUGUAUACUUUAAUAUACAUUAAAAAGUUCUGGAAGGAUAUACUUCAAAAUA